CAAAUCAUGCGUCUGAGCGUUGUCCAAAUGCUUCUGGAACUCUGUCAGGCUCGGUGCCGUGACCACUGCCCUUGGGAGCCUGUCCCAAUGACUGACCACCCUCUGGGUGAAGAACGUUUUCCUCACACCCAGCCUGAUUCUUCCCUGUCCCUGCCCCAUGCUGUUCCCUCA